rnacentral:rRNA from 1 species
UGGUGGAGUGAUUUGUCUGCUUAAUUGCGAUAACGAACGAGACCUUAACCUGCUAAAUAGCCCGCGUCGCUUUGGCGGCGUGCCGGCUUCUUAGAGGGACUAUCGGCUCAAGCCGAUGGAAGUUUGAGGCAAUAACA